rnacentral:lncRNA from 1 species
UGAGAGUUCCCUCUCAUGAGCUGAGCUCCUGCUCCUUCUUGCAUGUUUUUUCUCCAAAGAUUUCUAUCCAAUGCAAUAUGCUCCCAAUUUUCCAGUGGUAUGUGGAACCUUUUUUAGGUUGGUCUUGAUGUUAUCUUGGUAGCGUUUUUUUUUUAUCGCCAGAGGCUCACUGACCUCCCUUCAUUUGAGAGUAGAGGAUCUCUUGAGGGAGAUGCUUUAGAGUUGGUGCUGCCUUAUUAUUAUGGUGGUGAUGCUGUUCAUAUUGGCCUCCUCCAGAAUGCUGAUGUUUGUCUUCCUAUCCUUCCAGCUGAUCCUCGGUAUCGUUCAUAGGAAUCUUUAGUGGUGUUGUUCCAGGACACUCAGGUGCAUGACUCUGCAACAUAAAGCAGGGUGGGGAUGAUAACAGCUCUGUAGACCAGGUGCUAGGUUUAAGUCUCAUGUACUACAAAGGUGCGACUUAGAGGGCAGGUUGGAAAAUGCUGGAGUGUUGGUCAUAUGAGCUUCUAAAGUUCCACUGAGUCCUCUAUGCAAGGACAAAUGAACACUUUGCUUCUGUUACAGUGCACCUUUUGUUCUAUAACAUCUUAUGAAUUAUGUUUCUUAACUAGUGAAAGAUGGUGAACAUAUGCAAAAACCAUGUGUCUUAAUUUUUGAUGUUUUUUUUGUUUUGUUUUGCAUGAGAGCAACAAUCUAGUAACAUAGCAUAAAAAGUAAGAAAAACUGUGUUUGGUAGAUUUGGUAUUUCUUUGUUGUAACAAUGCUUCCUGGCAAUAAAUGUUAUACUGAUUGAAAUCCUGUUAAUUUCUCUUUUAAAUGGACACAUUUGUAAGGAACAUGCCUUUGUGGGAUGAGCAGCAGAGUUGUGUUGUGUUGUGUUGUGUUGUUGAGUUUUUCCCACAAAAAAAAUAUCAAAUAUCAAAUCAAAUUUUUCUGAUGUUACUAUUGACACUUGUUUUAAAGAUAUGGUUCUCCCAGUUGAGCAUGGGCAUUGCUGUAGUCUUCAGUAGGUGCCUGAGCUUCAAAAAUCCGCAUGGCACGUUGGACUGAUCUGGAUCCAGCCCAUGCGAUUGGGAACUUCAAGCUGGUGUUCCCCAAAACUAAGUUGCUGUAUUAUUUGGAGUGAGCCCUAUCUUCAAAGUAUCCACUAUCUCCAAACUGAAGGCCAAGUUUCAUAUAACGGGGGAUGUCAGAGACCCAAGUUCCAAGAAGACGACACCCCAAGAAGAUCCUCAAACACCAAAUAAGGCAAUGGCAGAAUAAAGCCCUGUCCGGACGGGGUUAGUUACUUAGG